rnacentral:rRNA from 1 species
UACAGAGGGGGCAAGCGUUAUUCGGAAUUAUUGGGCGUAAAGGGCGCGUAGGCGGCUUUUCAAGUGACGGGUGAAAUCCCUCGGCUUAACCGAGGAACUGCCUGUCAGACUGGAAGGCUUGAGACCGGGAGAGGUGAGUGGAAUUCCCAGUGUAGCGGUGAAAUGCGUAGAUAUCUGGAGGAAUACCGGUGGCGAAGGCGGCAUCCUGGACCGGCAUUGACGCUGAGGAGCGAAAGCCAGGGGAGCAAACGGG